GAUACCAUGCAGAGCUUUGUUGCGGAUUUGGGGCAGCAGAUCUCCCAGCUGCAGCAGCAGAAGGAAAAGCAGGAGGCUGUGGUCAAGCAACUGCAAGAGGACAACAGGGCUCUCCAGGAGGAGGGGGCAAAGCAGAGGGAGCAGCUGGAGGAGGUGCAGAGGCACAGGAGCAGCUUCCAGGAGCAGAUCCAGGAGCAGAUCCACAGGCUGUCAGCACAGAUCCGGGACAUAUGGAGCAGCAGUUCUGGUGGGAGCACAGCGAUGCCCUCCAGUGCAGCCAUGGCCCUGAGCCUCCUCGUGACGCUGCUCACUGCAAAGUGGCUGCACUGAGCACAGCGACACGGACCCGGGUCGCCCCUGUCAGUGUGGGGCCAUGGGGAAACCAGGGGGAGAUGGUUUGCCAAGUGCUGGCCCGAGGGGUGAGAUGGGACAAGGCACGUUCAGGGGACAGCGGUGCCACACGGUUCGGUGGGUCUAAACUGAUUUCCAAUAAAACUUCAUGCAAAUCCAAAGCGUUCUGCUGCUCCAGUGUCCUUUGGGGUGGCGGAUGGCGCAGCCCAACAGCCUGGUUUUGUCCAGGGGCUGAGCAUCCUCCCACGCACAACACAAACCACACCACCAUGGGCUGUGACCGGAGAGAAACCACCGCCUGGAGCAACCGGGCACAGUGUGUGGCACUGUCCCACGUCCCCAGCAUGGACCCUGCAGUGUCCAGAGCCACGCUGAAGGCAAUGGGGCUGUGCACACUGCUGGUGCUGCUGGUGGCGGCGGUGACAGCGGCGGUGGCGGUGUUGCUGUGGCGCUCAGAGGCACUGGGGAAGCUGCAAGGCUGCCAGGAGCGGGCGGCCAACGAGAGCCGUGUGCUGGAAAUGCGAGUGGCACAGCUGGAGAGGGAACUCGACCGACUGCAGCACGUGGCUGAUGAGAGACAGAGGGAGGAGGAUGCGCUGCGCCGGGAGCUCAGCCGAGUGCGCAAGGAUGGAGAGAAGCUCAGCUCCAGCCUGCGGUCCUGCCGGAUGCAGGCGGCCAGGCUGGAAGCCAACAUCACAGCGCUGCAGGAUGAGCUGGAGGGGCUGCGGCGUGACAGGGCUGAGCUGUCCCACAGGAACACAGCACUGCAAGAGGAGCUGGCUCAGGGCGCAGAGCGGGCGCUGGGGCUGCAGCAGAGGCUGGAGGAGGUGGCGGAGCAGCGGAGAGCACUGAGGGCACGUGGGGAGCGAUGCGAGGAGAAGCAGCGGGAGCUCGAGGCCACGCUGAAGGACCGUGCAGCUGAGCUGGAUGCGCUGCGGCGGCGGUUGGGGCCCCGCACGGCACGGCGCAGGUGCUCCCCUUCCCGGUACAUUGAGUGGGUGCUGCUCUGCCUUUCAGCCCUGCUCCUUUUGGGAGUGGGCACCCUGGGGUGGGGGCUCGUCUGGCACAGCAUGGCUGCAUGUUGUCCCAUCACACCCCUUUGUCGCUGCAUCCCUGCAGGGUCUCACUCUGUGCUGUCCACUCCUUUUUGCAGGAAGAGCUGA
rnacentral:lncRNA from 1 species